AUCAAGUUAGUUUAAAUAAAACAUUAGGAUGUGGGCUUAAAAAAGAUGUAAUAACCCAUUACUUGAUA
rnacentral:tRNA from 1 species